AGGUUGUUUACUGGAGCUACAAAGAAGUUAAACUUUAAAAUGGAGGAUAAAGAACUAAACAUACUGACAUGCUGAUUCUUUGAAGAGAAAUUCAGGACUGACUGC